GACGAACGCUGGCGGCGUGCUUAACACAUGCAAGUCGAACGCAGAAGCACCAGCUUGCUGGCGUGGAUGAGUGGCGCACGGGUGAGUAAUACGUGAGUAACCUGUCCUUGACUCUGGGGUAAGCCCUGGGAACUGGGUCUCAUACUGGAUGCUACAUGUCACCGCGUGGUGGUGUGUGGAAAGGGUUUGCUGGUCUUGGAUGUGCUCACGGCCUAGCGGCUUGUUGGGGAGGUGAUGGCUCACCGAGGCGACGACGGGUAGCCGGCCAGCGGGGGUGACAGGCCAUACUGGGACUUAGGGACGGCCCAGAUUCCGACGGGAGGCAGCAGGGGGGAAGAUUGCACAAGGGGCGAAAGCCUGAUGCAGAGACGCCGCGGGAGGGAUGACGGCCUUCGGGUUGUAAAACUCAUGCAGCAGGGAAGAAGCCACAAGUGACGGUACCUGCAGAAGAAGCGCCGGCUAACUACGUG
rnacentral:rRNA from 1 species